AAAGUGGAGGCUAUUGUAACUGAAGAGAACUGGAAAGUUCCACCGUAGAAGGUAAUAGUCCUGUAAGUGAAACGAGAAGACCACGAGUUAUGAUCCAGAGUACCACGAGACACGUGAAACCUUGUGGGAAGCAGGGAGGACCACCUCCCAAGGCUAAAUACUACCUGAUGACCGAUAGUGAAGCAGUACCGUGAGGGAAAGGUGAAAAGAACCCCGGGAGGGGAGUGAAAUAGAACCUGAAACCGUGUGCCUACAACCGCUCAGAGCCCCUUAUGAGGGUGAUGAGGUGCUUUUUGUAGAACGAGCCAACGAGUUACGGUAUGUAGCAAGGUUAAGUACUUAAGGUACGGAGCCGAAGGGAAACCGAGUCUGAAUAGGGCGACUAGUUGCAUGCCGUAGACCCGAAACCGGGUGACCUAUCCAUGGCCAGGUUGAAGCGAGGGUAAAACCUCGUGGAGGACCGAACCACGUUGCUGUUGAAAAAGCAUGGGAUGAGCUGUGGAUAGCGGAGAAAUUCCAAUCGAACCCGGAGAUAGCUGGUUCUCUCCGAAAUAGCUUUAGGGCUAGCGUCGAGUAUGAGUAGUGGAGGUAGAGCACUGAAUGGGCUAGGGGGCAUAGCGCUUACCGAACCUUAUCAAACUCCGAAUGCCACAUACUUUGAGCUCGGCAGUCAGACUACGAAUGAUAAGAUCCGUGGUCAAAAGGGAAACAGCCCAGAUCGUCAGCUAAGGUCCCAAAGUGUAAGUUAAGUGGGAAAGGAUGUGAGAUUUCUAAGACAACUAGGAUGUUGGCUUAGAAGCAGCCAUUCAUUAAAAGAGUGCGUAAUAGCUCACUAGUCGAGAGAUCUUGCGCCGAAAAUGUAACGGGGCUAAACUUACCACCGAAGCUACGGGCUUGAACUUAGUUCAAGCGGUAGGAGAGCGUCGUAACCGGGCUGAAGUCGUACCGUAAGGAGCGGUGGACUGGUUACGAGUGAGAAUGUUGGCAUCAGUAGCGAGAUGUGGGUGAGAAUCCCACAGGCCGAAAACCUAAGGUUUCCUCAGGAAGGUUCGUCCGCUGAGGGUUAGUCGGGACCUAAGCCGAGGCCGAAAGGCGUAGGUGAUGGACAACUGGUUGAUAUUCCAGUACCACUACCAUCGUUAUUAUCGAUGGCGUGACGCAGGAGGAUAGUGUGUGCUAGCUAUUGGAUGCUAGUCUAAGCGUUUAGGCAGUGAGAGUAGGCAAAUCCGCUCUCAUAAUGCUGAGGCGUGAUGGGGAAGGUUCUACGGAACCGAAGUACAUGAUUCCACGCUGCCAAGAAAAGCGUCUAGAGAGAGAAGUAGUGCCCGUACCGCAAACCGACACAGGUAGGUGAGGAGAGAAUCCUAAGGCCGGCGGAAGAAUUACAGUUAAGGAACUCGGCAAAUUGACCCCGUAAGUUCGCGAGAAGGGGUGCCUACGAGAGUAGGCCGCAGAGAAUAGGCCCAAGCAACUGUUUAGCAAAAACACAGGUCUCUGCUAAAGCGUAAGCUGAUGUAUAGGGGCUGACGCCUGCCCGGUGCUGGAAGGUUAAGGGGAACACUUAGCGCAAGCGAAGGUGUGAACUUAAGCCCCAGUAAACGGCGGCCGUAACUAUAACGGUCCUAAGGUAGCGAAAUUCCUUGUCAGGUAAGUUCUGACCCGCACGAAUGGCGUAAUGACUUGGGCACUGUCUCAACUGUAAAUCCGGCGAAGUUGUAGUGCGAGUGAAGAUGCUCGCUACCCGCGAUUGGACGGAAAGACCCCGUAGAGCUUUACUGUAGCUUAGCAUUGAGUUUUGGUAUUGUCUGUACAGGAUAGGUGGGAGACUAGGAAACCAGGGCGUCAGCCUUGGUGGAGUCAACCUUGGGAUACCACCCUGACAGUACUGAAAUUCUAACUGGCGGCCAUGAAUCUGGUCACAGGACAUUGUUAGGUGGGCAGUUUGACUGGGGCGGUCGCCUCCUAAAAAGUAACGGAGGCGCCCAAAGGUUCCCUCAGAACGGUCGGAAAUCGUUCGAAGAGUGCAAAGGCAGAAGGGAGCCUGACUGCGACACCCACAAGUGGAGCAGGGACGAAAGUCGGGCUUAGUGAUCCGGUGGUACCUCGUGGGAGGGCCAUCGCUCAACGGAUAAAAGCUACCUCGGGGAUAACAGGCUGAUCUCCCCCAAGAGUCCACAUCGACGGGGAGGUUUGGCACCUCGAUGUCGGCUCGUCGCAUCCUGGGGCUGAAGUAGGUCCCAAGGGUUGGGCUGUUCGCCCAUUAAAGCGGCACGCGAGCUGGGUUCAGAACGUCGUGAGACAGUUCGGUCCCUAUCCGUCGCGGGCGUAGGAAAUUUGAGAGGAGCUGUCCUUAGUACGAGAGGACCGGGAUGGACUGACCUCUGGUGUACCAGUUGUUCCGCCAGGAGCACAGCUGGGUAGCUAAGUCGGGAAUGGAUAAACGCUGAAAGCAUCUAAGCGUGAAGCCAACCUCAAGAUGAGAUUUCCCAUAGCGUAAGCUAGUAAGAUCCCUUGAAGAACACAAGGUUGAUAGGUCGGGGGUGUAAGC
rnacentral:rRNA from 1 species